AAGUCCGUGAGUUCUGAGUUGGAAGCAGCGGCAUCUGCUGUUGCAGAUUUUCUCCCUUUUGAUAAGCAGACAACCAAGUCAGAGCUGCUCAGGCAACUCCAGCAGCAUGAGGAAGUCUCAAAGGCACAGAAAGAUGGAGAAAGAACUAAAAUUAGUGUCAGUAACAUAAUAUCAAAUAUGAAAGUUGUCAAAUCUGCCACAGGUAGAGUUAGUACAAGACCAGUGCAUCAAAUUCAGUUUGAUGAAGGAACUGACAGUUUCAUGGGACAGAAGACUGAUGAUCUUAAGAAAAGG